rnacentral:rRNA from 1 species
GACGAACGCUGGCGGCGUGCUUAACACAUGCAAGUCGAACGGAAAGGCCCUGCUUUUGUGGGGUGCUCGAGUGGCGAACGGGUGAGUAACACGUGAGUAACCUGCCCUUGACUUUGGGAUAACUUCAGGAAACUGGGGCUAAUACCGGAUAGGAGCUCCUGCUGCAUGGUGGGGGUUGGAAAGUUUCGGCGGUUGGGGAUGGACUCGCGGCUUAUCAGCUUGUUGGUGGGGUAGUGGCUUACCAAGGCUUUGACGGGUAGCCGGCCUGAGAGGGUGACCGGCCACAUUGGGACUGAGAUACGGCCCAGACUCCUACGGGAGGCAGAAGUGGGGAAUAUUGCUCAAUGGGCGGAAGCCUGAUGCAGCAACGCCGCGUGCGGGAUGACGGCCUUCGGGUUGUAAACCGCUUUCGCCUGUGACGAAGCGUGAGUGACGGUAAUGGGUAAAGAAGCACCGGCUAACUACGUG